AGCAGUCUGCAACUCGACUGCACGAAGCUGGAAUCGCUAGUAAUCGCGGAUCAGCACGCCGCGGUGAAUACGUUCCCGGGCCUUGUACACACCGCCCGUCACACCAUGGAAGUCUGCAAUGCCCGAAGCCGGUGGCCUAACCACUUAUGUGGAAGGAGCCGUCUAAGGUAGGGCAGAUGACUGGGGUGAAGUCGUAACAAGGUACC
rnacentral:rRNA from 1 species